CACGUCUGUGCGUCUGUGUGUGCGCGUCUGUGCAUGUGUGUGUCUGUGCGUGUGUGCGUCUGUGUGUGUGCGUCUGUGUGCGCGUGUGUGUGCGCGUCUGUGUGUAUGUGUGCACGCGCGUCUGUGUGCACGUGCGUGUCUCUGCACGCGUGUCUGUGUAUGUGUGCACGCGUGUGUCUGUGUGUGUGCACGCGCGUGCACGUCACCACCGGAGCAUUUAGGGUUUGGUACAAGAUGGUUCUAAAAUGGCAAAGGUUUUUCGUGUUUGUUUGUUUUGUUUCUUUGGAAAAAGAAAAGGAAAGGAAAAUCAUGCAGAAUCGCAAGCAUUCAGACUGGACGACCGGCUCGUAUUCCGAUCAGUCGCUUCCAUUGUUAGCAUCGUACACGAUUGUGAUUUUUAUGUCAAAAGAAGCCAAAACUUGCAAUACUAUUUUUAGCAGACAAAAAAAAGAACUAAGUAUAAAAUGUAUAAAUAUUUUUGACUUGAAGAUUUGGAUGGCACUGGGUGCAAGUAGAGCAUCCAUCCUUCGGAUGGAAUGUUUGGAAAAAAGAGACUUUUAAAAAGGAGACGGUUGUUUUAAAGAGUCUGUUUAGGGGUUAAAGUACUGUAACUCACGACUGUUAAAAAAUAAAUUUUCCUGUGCUGUAAAGGAAGGUUUCACAGUACCACUGAGUUAGAUUUCAGCCACAGAUGCUUAGCUUUUUUUUUUUGUCUUUUUUUUAAGGAGGAAGCCUUUGUUUUGUUUUCCUGAGCCCUCACUCUGUUUUUGUGCUGUUACUCGGUAGAGUCAAGACUGUUACUUUUUAGCCAUGGCUGACAUUGUAUCAAUAACUAAAACUGAAACAUUCAAAAGCGAACAGGGAAACCGAGGGCUUCAAGCGUGCUCAGAGCCGUUUCAGACAGUGGAAAUCCAUGACAAACAAAAGGAUGUGAUCAUUAAUUGUAAAGCGCUUUGUAAAAUUCACAUUUACAAAAUAAUAAAGUCAGUUCAAACCU
rnacentral:lncRNA from 1 species